GGCCGGGCGGGCUUCUUCCCCGCACAGUUUCCCGCGAGUACCGGGAGGCAGCCGCGGGCGGCGGGCCCCCGAGCGGGAGGAGGGCGAUGCUUUCUCGGAGCCUGGGGGCUCUCCCCCCCUACCCCACCCCCGCUGCCCAUGACUUGGCUUUCCCUGGCUGGGGAAGUGUGAGGGCGAGAUAAGCGGCUAGCUGGGGCCCAGGGACGGGCUGGGGCGGCUGGUGGGGCCCCCGGGCGCCCCCUCCUCCCCAGGACGCUUCCCCCCGCAGCUUCUCCGUAGUCCCGAGGCCGAGGGGGGCCACGGGGCUCGGCUCCAGCGGGCCGCCCUCUCACCCAGCUGGGGGGCGCGGGGGGAGCCUCUGCUGGAGCACCCGCCUUGCCUGAGAUCUCACACAUUCUCACACUCACGCACACUCACUUGCUCACUCAGGCACGCUCACACAUCUUUAUGCACGCACUCAUUUUCACACUCACGCUCAAACAUUCCCUAAGUAGGAACCGAAGCGGGACCGUCCCAACGGGAGCGGCGGCCGCCCUGUGUCCGGAGGCUCGUGAGGUUCCCAGAGAGAGCAGGGGCCGGGACCCCGGGGCUGGACCCAACUCUAUCCGGGCCUCCGCCCGCUCUUGGCCUUGGAGUCCCUCAAGACAGGGCUUUGCUCUCUGCCCUUCUUCCGCUCACUCGAUCCCAUUAAUUGAGCAUUUAUUAGGAGUCCCCCCCCCGCCAAGGAGCCGGCGCUGCCCCGGAGGAAGCGGGAGUCCGCGGACCAGAUGUUCCCGCCCGCUCUGAACCCGGGACCCCGUGAGGGGGCGGGCGCGCUGACAUUCGUCUCUCCCCAGGGCGGUCCCGGCGGGCGCCUUUCAGUGAUCUCUAAGCUCUGUUACAGCAUUGGGGGAGCCCCCAACCAGGCAGCCUCCAGCGCCGCAGCCUUUUACCUGCAGCUCUUCCUGCUGGAUGUGGCCAGGAUCCCCGCGGCCCAAGCCUCGCUCGUCCUGUUCGCGGGAAAGCUGUCGGGGGCGGCGGCCGAUCCCGCGGCCGGAUUCCUCGUCAGCCGGAGCCCGCGGACCCGCCUGGGCCGCCUGACCCCCUGGAUCCUGAGCUGCUCGCCCUUCCUGGCCCUCACCUACUUCUUGCUGUGGUUCCUGCCCACCGUGGGCCGGCUGCGGGCGCUCUGGUACGGGGCCUUCUACUGCCUCUUCCAGGCGCUGUCCACGCUGCUCCAGGUCCCCUACUCCGCCCUCACCAUGUUCCUCACUCGGGACCAGCAGGAGAGAGAUUCGGCCACUGCCUAUCGGAUGACCGCGGAGAUGGCCGGCACGCUGAUUGGAGCCACUGCCCACGGUCUCAUCGUGGCCGGCGCCCACGAGGCCCCCACGUGCCCGGAGGCCAACCUCACGGCCCCGCCGCCCUCCCUGGGCUCGGGUACCCCUCCGCACACGAGCCAGCUCUACAUGAUCGCCGCCGGGGUCGUCGCGGGAACCUACCCCCUGUGCGCGGCCCUGCUGGCCCUGGGGACCUCCGAGGAAGACGAUCUCGGCGGCCUCCAGCGCCAGGGGCUCUCCUUCCUCCAGGGGCUCGGCCGCACCCUCCGGCACCAGCCCUACCAGCGGCUCGUGGCUGCCUUCCUCUUCAUCUCCGCCGCCGUCCAGGUUCAGCAGAGCUAUCUGGUCCUGUUCUGCACCCACGCGGGCCCCCUGCACAGCCACACGCAGAACCUGGUGCUGCUGGUGCUGGUGGCAGCUGUCCUGAGCACCCCCUUCUGGGAAUGGUUCCUGCAGAAAGUGGGGAAGAAGACCGCAGCCUGCGGGAUCGGGGCCAUGGUGCCCUCUGCGCUCCUGCUGGCAGCCGUGCCCACCGCCCCCGUGGCCUACAGCAUGGCCUUCGUGUCCGGUGCCAGCAUUGCCGUGGCCUCGCUGCUGCCCUGGUCCAUGCUGCCCGAUGUUGUGGAUGACUUCAGGCUCCAGAAACCUGCUCCGAAAGGCCUGGAAACCAUCUUCUACUCUUCCUAUGUCUUCUUCACCAAGCUGUCGGGGGCCGGGGCCCUGGGCAUCUCCACCCUGAGCCUGGACUUCGCAGGGUACGAGUCCGGCGCCUGUAAGCAGUCUGAGCAGGCGGUGCUGGCGCUCAAGGUCCUGAUCGGAGCCGUCCCCACCAGCAUGGUGUUGCUGGGGCUGGCCAUCCUGUCGGCGUACCCCAUCACCGAGCAGCGGCGCCAGGAGAUCGCCCGCGAGCUGGACGCGCUGAGGAACGAGGUGCCCGUGUCCAGGACCCCCAGUCCCAGCAGAGCCCAAAGUGGAGCCACCGCUUUGACCGAGGGUCCCUGAGCCUGACCCAGCAGCGCCACGCCUGACGAAGGCCUAGGACUCUAGUUCCCAGCCGGGUUCUGCCGGGCUUUAAGAAGGACGGGGCUCGGCAUUUGAAGGGGGAAGGUAAUCCCAUGCCAGUGCUCAGGCUGGUGCUUCCCCGGAGCCUGUCAGCCUCUGGUCAUACCCACAGCUGCCAGGUACCCAUCCCCACAGCUGCCAGGCGGCCAUCCCCAGAGCUGCCAGGUAUCUUGCCCGUAGCUGCCAGGUACCCAUCCCCAGAGCUGCCAGGCACCCAUCCCCAGAGCUGCCAGGUACCCAUCCCCAGAGCUGCCAGGCACCCAUCCCCAGAGCUGCCAGGUACCCAUCCCCAGAACUACCAGGUACCCAUCCCCACAGCUGCCAGGCGGCCAUCCCCAAAGCUGCCAGGUAUCUUGCCCGCAGCUGCCAGGCACCCAUCCCUAGAGCUGCCAGGUACCCAUCCCCAGAACUACCAGGUAUUUGUGCCCAUGGCUGCCAGGUACCCCUCCCUAGAGCUGCCAGGUACCCAUCCCCAGAGCUGCUGGGUACCCCUCCCUAGAGCUGCCAGGUAGCUGGGCUACAGCCCUUUGGUGGAACUUGAAAGACAUUUCCCUUAUUUCCAUUCCAUAUGGCCAAAGACAUUUCCACAAGGCCAUGAUGUGGAUCUCCUAAGCCCCUCCCCUUCCCCUCCCUUCCCACUGCUCUGAAUGCAGCAUCCACCUCCCACUUCACAGUCACCCUGGAUCCUUGAAGAACUCUUCCUGCCUCCCCCCACUGGCUUAUCCAAUGUGGCGCCAAGGCCCGUGCUUUCACCUCGGCAGCCUCUCAGACGCUCCCUCUGAACCUGCCCUCCCCUGGGGCAGACCCUCAUCCUCACACCUGGAACCCUGCAGUGGCUUCUGGGGGCUCCGCCAGCCUCAGGAGUGACCCUAUCCCAGUCCACCCUCCAUCCGGCCAAUCAAGUGAUUUUCCCAAAGCAGAGACCUCUCCCUGUCACCUCCUGCUCAGUAAAAUUCAAUGGCUCCCUAUCACUCUCAAGAACAAAUACAAAAUUCUCUGCUUGGCCUCCAACGCCCUCUCGAUGUAGCCCCUCCUUCCUUUCAGACUUCUUACACCCCAAAGUAUACUCUUUAGUCCUGUAACCCCAGCCAACAAGACCCCCAUCUCUCAGCUCUGGGUAUUCUCGUUGGUGUCCCCCAGGCCUGGAACACUCUCCCUUCUCCAUUCCCCUGCUUCCUUUAAGCCCCGCCUCAAAAAGCCCCCUUCUCCAGGAAGCCCUCCCUAACCCUUCUUCAUGUCAGUGUCUUUCCCAUUAACUUGUUUUGCAUAUUGUCGUUACCACCUCCCCCAACUAGACUGUAAGCUUCUCAAGGUCAGGGACUGGGUCUUUUUGUACACAGCAGGUGUUUAAUAAAUGUUUAUUGAGUGAUUACCUGCCAAAGA